rnacentral:rRNA from 1 species
GGGGUGAGUAACACGUGGAUAACCUACCUAUAAGACUGGGAUAACUUCGGGAAACCGGAGCUAAUACCGGAUAAUAUUUUGAACCGCAUGGUUCAAAAGUGAAAGACGGUCUUGCUGUCACUUAUAGAUGGAUCCGCGCUGCAUUAGCUAGUUGGCAAGGUAACGGCUUACCAAGGCAACGAUGCAUAGCCGACCUGAGAGGGUGAUCGGCCACACUGGAACCUGAGACACGGUCCAG